GAGUUUGAUCGUGGCUCAGAGCGAACGCUGGCGGCAGGCUUAACACAUGCAAGUCGAGCGGGCCCUUCGGGGUCAGCGGCGGACGGGUGAGUAACGCGUGGGAACGUGCCUUCUGGUUCGGAAUAACCCUGGGAAACUAGGCUAAUACCGGAUACGCCCUUUUGGGGAAAGGUUUACUGCCGGAAGAUCGGCCCGCGUCUGAUUAGCUAGUUGGUGGGGUAAUGGCCUACCAAGGCGACGAUCAGUAGCUGGUCUGAGAGGAUGAUCAGCCACACUGGGACUGAGACACGGCCCAGACUCCUACGGGAGGCAGCAGUGGGGAAUAUUGGACAAUGGGCGCAAGCCUGAUCCAGCCAUGCCGCGUGAGUGAUGAAGGCCUUAGGGUUGUAAAGCUCUUUUAUCCGGGACGAUAAUGACGGUACCGGAGGAAUAAGCCCCGGCUAACUUCGUGCCAGCCGCCGCCGU
rnacentral:rRNA from 1 species